GGUUUCACCAUGAUGGUCAGGCUGGUGAAGAUCUCCUGACCUCAAGUGAUCUGCCUGCCUCGGCCUCCCAAAGUGCUGGGAUUACAGACAUGAACCACAACACCUGCCGAGCCCAGGUGUUUUGAAUCCAGCAUGGGCAACGGCAAGACCCUGUCCCAGCAAACAAAAAAACACUGGUGCCUGAGGCCCACCCCGAGAGAUUCUGAUUGAGUUGAUUUGGAUGUGAAUUAUCUUUAAAAUUUUGGAUGUGAAUUUUUUUUUUUUUUCUUGGAAUGGAGUUUCACUCUUGUUCCCCAGGCUGGAGUGCAACGGGACGAUCUUGGCUCACCGCAACCUCUGCCUACUGGGUUCAAGCCAUUCUCCUGCCUCAGCUUCCCAAGUAGCUGGGAUUACAGGCAUGUGCUACCAUGCCCAGCUAAUUUUGUAUUUUUAGUAGAGACAGGGUUUCUCCAUGUUGCUCAGGCUGGUCUUGAACUCCUGACCUCAGGUGAUCCGCCCGCCUCGGACUCCCAAAGUGCUGGGAUUACAGGCAUGAGCCACCAUGCCUGGCCGGAUGUGAAUUAUCUUAAAAAUUUUCAGGUAAUUCUAAUGGGCCAAGGUUGAGAACCCCUGCUCUGGGCCCAUCCGAGCACCAGGCUGUCACAAACGCAUGCAUGCACUCACGCCCGUGGGCUUGGGGGGCUUCGGAAAUGUGCUUCUGCUUUUUUGAGAUGGGGUCUUUCUGUUGCCCAUCCCGGAGCACAGUGGCACGAUCACAGCUCACUGCAGCCUCGAUCUCCUGGGCUCAGGUGAUCCUCCCGCCUCAGCCUCCCGAGUGUCUGCUUCUGGUUUUCAUGAUGACCUGGGGCCCAGGCAUACUACACUUGUGCUGUUCAGGGGCCAGUCCUGCACCAGGAGCCCAUCAGCCACAGCUCCGCCGAGAAGCACUGAUAUGCAGAGCUAAGCAGCUUUGUUUCCACGUGGAUCCUGCGUAGGUUUUCUUGGUCCAUCCAUAGACACCGCACUCCUGCAGAGGAUCUUCUUGGGAUGCCCCACUGUCUCUGUUUUCCCGCUUCACUGAACACUCAGUCGGGGCUCGCCAUGAUGCCUGUGUCUGCUGGCUUCUCCCCCAUUGGAACAGCCUUCUUGGCACGCCACACUGCUAGCUGCUGGGCACUGUGCUUUCUGCCUUUACCGUUCUGCCGUGAUGUUGCCAAAAUAGCAACAACAACAACAACAAAGGCUGGGCACCGUGGCUCAUGCCUGUAUUCCCAGCAGUUCGAGAUCAGCCUGGGCAACAUGGUGAGACCCUAUCUCUACAAAAAUAAAAAAUGAAAUGAGCUGGGGGGGGGGUGGCGCAUGCAUGCCUGUGGUCCCAGCUGCUUGGGAGGCUGAGGUCGGAAGAUCGCUGGAGCUUAACCUUGAGGUCAAGGUUGCAGUGAGCCGAGAUUACAUCACUGCACUCCAGCGUGGGAGACAGAGACCCUGUAUUAACAAACAAAAACACAAACCACAAAGGGCAGGUCUGAACCUGUCAUUUAAAAAAAAAAAUUAAUAAACUUAAAAAAAAUAUAUAUCCACAGAUGCAGGUGAAGAACCUGUUGUCUUCCUCAAGCCUCUUUUUCACCCAUGGGUGGAAAUGGUGCCCUGGACACCCAGGCCCACGAGGUCUUUGGGUGGGGUCCCUACACAGGGCUUUAGCUUACACUGUGCUGCCCUCCUGUCCCCCAAGUUCCCAGUCUGUCAAAAUCCAACCUGGUCUCCCAGGCCCAGGGCAAAUGCCACCUCCUCCAUGAAACCUGCCACAUCCUUUGCACACCCUUGGGCGCUGACCUUGUUCUCCCAGCACACAGGCACGGGUACAGUUUGCCCCUGUAGUAGUAACUCAGGCACAAAAUGAACUCUUGCUGAGGCUCGGCCGCACAGAGCUGAGGGUUGCCGCUUCCAGGUUCAAGUGCAUUUUGAGUUUCAUUCCCAGCUUCCUUCUUUUUCUGGUCUUUAAUUUCUUCUCCGGAUUAGGUCCCACUCAAUGCUUUCCUUCUCAAUUUCCAAAAGAGUAUGGUCAGAGCCAGCAGCACACCGCCUUCCCCAUGGGUGGGGGGGGCAGCCUGUGGCGGGGGUGCGGGUCCCAUCUUUUCGAAGGAAUUGACCCACAGUGGGCGGGUCCACCUCUGACCUUGCCCCAGGGAGUGCAGACAGAAAAAAGAUCCUUGCUUAGUUUGAGGGGCCGCUGGGGUGCUCGGUUUGUCUUCAGAGGCCUGUCUGUAACACCAAUGCCAACCCGGUGGCACUGACUGGUCACCCUGAAGGCCACGGCCAGUGUCCUAGGAAGGGACUCAAUUUCUAGCUGUGCCACCUGAGAUUCUGGGGUUAGGCUGGUUCUGCUUCUGAAGUUCCACUGUGCUCAAAGUGCUUGAUGAAAGUUAGCGAAGGUGAUUUUACAAAAAUAGAUGCAUAAAAUGUCUAGGAAACACAAAAAAUCCUUAUUACUCUUCUCUCCAAAUAUUUUUUAAGCCCCAACUGGACCCUAGGCAAAAGUGAGUGGCACUCCUCUGCCAGGACUCCAGGCGAGCCCCGGCAUCUUCUUGCUGCCGUCCCAGACAACAGAAGUUACCAGAUGAACAGACUUGGAUGGGCCACGGGGGUGGAGAGCUGGAAAGCUUGGCUGUGCCUCUCGAUGAUGAUUAAGAUUUCAAUAUUUACAGCAAAACCACAAAGCAAAUGAUAGAAUAAAGCAAAACAAUGGAAAAUCUGAGUUCACUCGUGAGAGAGGUACGUAUGUGAGCUCUGAGGAAAUUACAGAGGGAACGCAUGCAGCGGGACAGCUCUCCCAAUCGCAGCGUGCAAAGUAGACAUCCAUAGUGUCUUUUGAAAAAUGAAAGACACAUUACUUUGAACAGCCAAGAAAAAAAAUUGCAAUUUAUUAAGAUUCAAUAAAGCGUUGUACUUUCGAAAGCA
rnacentral:sRNA from 1 species